UCGUUAACAUGAGCAGAGGAAAGUCCACAAACACUUUUCAUUGUGUUUUCGAAUGCGACACCGCGUUGAGAUGCCCCGGUUUGAAAUAGAUUUUACUAUCUUAUUAGAAAAUUUCGUUUACGAGUCGAAAUUUUUCCGUUCCAUUGAAAUCGGUAUUAAAAAGCCGUAAAAAGUGUAAGAAUUCAUAAAGAUUUCUGAGCGGGAUUACGAGAAACGCAUAAAAAGUGAAACUUUUCUGGUAUUCGCGUCGUAGGGAAGAGCAAAAACGAGUUAAAAUGUGUAAUAAUAUCGUGCAUUAGCAGCUGUUGAGGCCGGAACAUACCGGAAGCACGGUCAGUGCGCGCCAGCGAUUCCCCUUCGGAGUGCUUUUUGUGCAGAAACUGGAUAAAACGCACAAUUACGUACUGUGCACAACACAAAGGAGCAACAAGAGGGAAAAACAGCGCACAAUAAUACAAAUAUGCAAAUUUAUCAGCACAAAAAGUAGAGUAUGUGUGUAAUUAUGCGUGAUAGAAUACUGUAAAAACGAAAGCAAAUAAAAGUCGAUAUCGUUCAUGUUGAAAGUUGAAAUAUGCGUUGAAAAGUGCAAUAAUAGAACAGUAGAAUAACAGAUAUGAGGAAAUAACAGGAAUGGCAAACAGUUACCACAGCAUACGUGACCCACAUCUAUUGACAAUCACAGUCAUAGACUGUGGCCUGCUUGUGUUUCGGUCAGCGAGUGUUAUUACAUUACACGAGUACGCCGAGAUAUCUGCAGAUGAAUCUAUUUCAUCAUCGGGCGAGAGUUGGAAGCAGCGAAAAAAAAAUUAUGAUGAAGAACGGAAAUAUCAUCAUCGUGUGGCGGUCGUUAACGUCGAAGAAAAGUACAAUGUGAGGUUGAUUCAUUUUUGUGAUUCGUUUUUAUUGUCGGCUUUGUGCUAUUGGGAACACCCGGUAUCGAUAGCAUCAAAGAGUACAGAGUAAUUAGGGCCAUCCGCAAGCAACUACUACUGCUAGAGAAGCGUUGCCGUUGCUUCAUCUCGCGCACAAAGUGUGGAGGGAAUUCGAGACAAGUUUCAUUUCUGCUCAAACAAUACACAACUAACAUCAAGUCCA